rnacentral:tRNA from 1 species
GCCUGUGUGGCUCAGUCAGUUGAGCGUCUGCCUUCGGCUCAGGUGGUCCUGGGAUCAAGCCCCACAUCAGGCC